rnacentral:rRNA from 1 species
AUUGAUAACCGCUGAAAGCAUCUAAGCGGGAAGCGAGCCUUGAGAUGAGUUCUCCCUGAUACUUUAAGUAUCCUAAAGGGUUGUCGUAGACUACGACGUUGAUAGGCAGGGUGUGUAAGCGUUGUGAGGCGUUGAGCUAACCUGUACUAAUUGCCCGUGAGGCUUAACCAU